UACGUAGGGUGCGAGCGUUGUCCGGAAUUAUUGGGCGUAAAGGGCUCGUAGGCGGUUUGUCGCGUCGGGAGUGAAAACACCGGGCUUAACUCGGUGCUGGCUUUCGAUACGGGCAGACUAGAGUUCGGCAGGGGAGACUGGAAUUCCUGGUGUAGCGGUGAAAUGCGUAGAUAUCGAGAGGAACACCUGCGGCGAAGGCGGGUAGCUGGGCCGACACUGACGCUGAGGCGCGAAAGCCAGGGGAGCGAACGGG
rnacentral:rRNA from 1 species